rnacentral:rRNA from 1 species
AACAGCCCACCGGUGAACUUUACUGUCAAUGUCCACAACUACGACAAAGGAUACUACAUGGGUGACGGUAUAUAUCCUCAGUGGACCACUAUUGUCAAGACAAUACCCAACCAUGUCGGAGAGAAGAGGAAAAGAUUUUCCCAAAAGCAAGAGAGUGCUAGGAAGGAUGUCGAGCGUGCCUUUGGUGUUUUGCAAUCUCGAUGGAGCAUCGUUCGGUGUCCUGCUAAUACCUGGAGCACGCAGAAACUGUGGGAGGUGAUGACUGCUUGUGUGAUUAUGCACAAUAUGAUCGUAGAAGACGAGUGCCCGAAAUGU